rnacentral:rRNA from 1 species
GACGAACGCUGGCGGCGUGCUUAACACAUGCAAGUCGAACGGAAAGGCCCUGCUUUUGUGGGGUGCUCGAGUGGCGAACGGGUGAGUAACACGUGAGUAACCUGCCCUUGACUUUGGGAUAACUUCAGGAAACUGGGGCUAAUACCGGAUAGGAGCUCCUGCUGCAUGGUGGGGGUUGGAAAGUUUCGGCGGUUGGGGAUGGACUCGCGGCUUAUCCGCUUGUUGGUGGGGUAGUGGCUUACCAAGGCUUUGACGGGUAGCCGGCCUGAGAGGGUGACCGGCCACAUGGGGACUGAGAUACGGCCCAGACUCGUACGGGAGGCAGCAGGGGGGAAUAUUGCACAAUGGGCGGAAGCCUGAUGCAGCAACGCCGCGUGCGGGAUGACGGCCUUCGGGUUGUAAACCGCUGUCGCCUGUGACGAAGCGUGAGUGACGGUAAUGGGUAAAGAAGCACCGGCUAACUACGUG